UUUCCCUUUCGUGUAUCGUUUGGAAAAUGAAGUGCAAAGUUAAUGUUCAAUUUAAUAUCGAUUUUAACAGUUUUUAAAGCUUUUGUGCAAUGUAGCUGGGUGUGUAUCGGAAAUCCAAUUUAAAUUUCAUUUCUUGUUCCACUGCCCCAAACUUCCUUCGCUGCUUCCGCACGGACCCGGACUUUGUUUAAUUACAUCCACAGCGCUGCUUCCACUAAUCGAAACGAGAUGUGUACGCGCCAAUCACGCGCCGAUCCCGUCCGCGUGCUGCUCUCUGUCCGUAACCUUUUCCGCGCGUUAGCAUAACCCUUGGAGGGGUCCGAAAGGGUUGGGAAGGAAAUUAACCUUACGCGGUGGAUCAUGCGGCGUUAGUGGAGUGGCAGAGCGGAGAGGACGGUGGAGAAUGGAAUCAGCUCUAAUUAUCUUUAUUGCGUUUGCGUGCAGGAUAGCUGGAUUAAAAGAAGAAUAACUUCCAAAUGGCAACACUAACGAUCGUAGCGAAG